rnacentral:rRNA from 1 species
CCCAUGGAGAACUAAGCCAUGCGAGUCAUUGUAGCAACACAAGGCAGACGGCUCAGUAACGCGUAGUCAAUCUACCCUAUGGACGGGGAUAACCUCGGGAAACUGAGAAUAAUACUCGAUAGAACAUUAUGCCUGGAACGGUUUAUGUUUCAAAUGAUUUAUCGCCGUAGGAUGGGACUGCGGCCUAUCAGUUUGUUGGUGAGGUAAUGGCCCACCAAGACUAUUACAGGUACGGGCUCUGAGAGGAGUAGCCCGGAGAUGGGUACUGAGACACGGACCCAGGCCCUAUGGGGCGCAGCAGGCGAGAAAACUUUGCAAUGUGCGGAAGCACGACAAGGUUAAUCCGAGUGGUUUCUGCUAAAGGAACCUUUUGUCAGUCCUAGAAACACUAGUGAAUAAGGGGUGGGCAAGUUCUGGUGUCAGCCGCCGCGGUAAAACCAGCACCUCAAGUGGUCAGGAUGAUUAUUGGGCCUAAAGCAUCCGUAGCUCGUUUUGUAAGUUUUCGGUUAAAUCCAUACGCUCAACGUAUGGGCUGCCGGGAAUACUGCAUGACUAGGAAGUGGGAGAGGUAGACGGUACUCGAUAGGAAGGGGUAAAAUCCUUUGAUCUAUUGAUGACCACCUGUGGCGAAGGCGGUCUACCAGAACACGUUCGACGGUGAGGGAUGAAAGCUGGGGGAGCAAACCGGAUUAGAUACCCGGGUAGUCCCAGCUGUAAACUAUGCAAACUCAGUGAUGCAUUGGCUUGUGGCCAAUGCAGUGCUGCAGGGAAGCCGUUAAGUUUGCCGCCUGGGAAGUACGUACGCAAGUAUGAAACUUAAAGGAAUUGGCGGGGGAGCACCACAAGGGGUGAAGCCUGCGGUUCAAUUGGAGUCAACGCCGGG